rnacentral:rRNA from 1 species
CCAUACCACCCUGAACACACCCUAUCUCAUCUAAUUUCAGAAGCUAAGCAGGGUCGGGCCUGGUUAGUACUUGGAUGGGAGAAUAGGGACUUCAGGUUGAAAAGAAGC